CCGCUAGGCGUUCUUCCUCGCUGAAAGUGCUUUACAACCCGAGAGCCUUCUUCACACACGCGGCAUGGCUGGAUCAGGGUUUCCCCCAUUGUCCAAUAUUCCC
rnacentral:rRNA from 1 species